UAAAAAAUUUUGUUAACCCCAACCGCGGGCCCCAAAAUUUGUUUUUUAUUUUAACCCCUCCAAACCUUAUUUUUUAAAAUUUUAAAAUUAAAUACCCCUCUUUUCUUAAAUUUUUUUAAAAAAACUAAAAAAUCCCAAAAAUUUUAUGGAAAAACAGCCUUUUAAAAAUUUUUUUAACCCAAAAAAUUUUUU
rnacentral:rRNA from 1 species